AGCCUCUAAGCAUCAGGUAACAUCAAAUCGUACCCCAAACCGACACAUGUGGUCAGGUAGAGAAUACCAAGGCGCUUGAGAGAACUCGGGUGAAGGAACUAGGCAAAAUGGUGCCGUAACUUCGGGAGAAGGCACGCUGGUGUGUAGGUGAAGUCCCUGCGGAUGGAGCUGAGACCAGUCGAAGAUACCAGCUGGCUGCAACUGUUUAUUAAAAACAUAGCACUCUGCAAACACGAAAGUGGACGUAUACGGUGUGACGCCUGCCCGGUGCCGGAAGGUUAAUUGAUG
rnacentral:rRNA from 1 species